CAAUUCUGUUCAUGAAAUGUAAUUUUUGCUAUAUACGGAUUGCUUGGGUUCUUAAAUUAUGGAAAAUAUAAAAAAUUUUGAAAAUAGUAAUUUUUGCUUUCCAGGGGGGUGGUCAACUUUUGCUCCCCUAAAAGUGGCUUGCGCACGGAAAUGACAAACGGCAUUCUUUAUUUGAGUUCAUGUAUGAAAAGUUCGCUAUUUGUUGCAUUUAUGAUAAAAUUUCGGCAGGAUUUUACCGAGUACAAAUCCUCCGAAAAGCCUAUGAAAACGUUACAUUUUUCUCUGUUGGUGCUGUUCUUGCUUCAUUAUGAAUUCAUUUUUACUCCCAUGAGAGUUCCAUGGAAUAUCCAUGGAAUUUGUGCUUUCGAGUUGUUUGUGCUGAAACGCAUUUUCUCGUAUAAUACCC
rnacentral:lncRNA from 1 species